GAUGAACGCUGGCGGCGUGCCUAAUACAUGCAAGUCGAGCGAACAGACGAGUAGCUUGCUCCUCUGACGUUAGCGGCGGACGGGUGAGUAACACGUGGAUAACCUACCUAUAAGACUGGGAUAACUUCGGGAAACCGGAGCUAAUACCGGAUAAUAUAUUGAACCGCAUGGUUCAAUAUUGAAAGACGGUUUUGCUGUCACUUAUAGAUGGAUCCGCGCCGCAUUAGCUAGUUGGUAAGGUAACGGCUUACCAAGGCAACGAUGCGUAGCCGACCUGAGAGGGUGAUCGGCCACACUGGAACUGAGACACGGUCCAGACUCAUACGGGAGGCAGCAGUAGGGAAUCUUCCGCAAUGGGCGAAAGCAUGACGGAGAAACGCAGCGUGAGUGAUGAAGGGCUUCGGAUCGUAAAACUCUGUUAUUAGGGAAGAACAAAUGUGUAAGUAACUAUGCAAGUCUUGACGGUACCUAAUCAGAAAGCCACGGCUAACUACGUG
rnacentral:rRNA from 1 species